AGAAGGGGUGGAGGAGCCAGGAGGAAUGAAUGGGCUGCUGCGGCCCUGGAAACGAUCAGGAAGACCAAGGGCUGUGAACCCGCCUGGGGAUGAGGCCUGGUCUUGUGGAACUGAACUUAGCUCGGCGGGGCUGACCGCUCUGGCCCAGGGUGGUGGCAGUGCUCCUUUUGGACUUUUCUCUAGGUUUGGCGCUAAACUCUUCUGUGAGCUCACUCCACCCCUCCUCCUCCCUUUAACUUACCCAUUCACUUAAAACAUUACCUGGUUGUCUGGUAAGCCCGGGACAGUAGCCGAGUGGCUUUUGGAGUCGGUAUUGUUGGUAAUGGUGGAGAAAGAGAGGCCUUCCCGCUGAGGCUGGGGUGGGGCGGAUCGGUGUUGCUUGCCUGCAGAGAGGGUGGGGAGUGAAUGUGCACCCCUGGGUGGGCCUGCAGCCAUCCAGCUGAAAGUCAUAAAAAUGCCUUAUAGACCGUGGUUUGUUACUAUAGUGUUCCUCAUGGCGAGCAGAUGGAACCGGGAGACAUGGAGCCCCUGGCCAGUGUGAGUCCUAGCAGUGCAGGAGGGGAGACCAUGGAGGAGAGAGCCCGCCUCAAUUGAUGCCUGCAGAUUGAAUUUCCAGAGGCUUAGGAGGAGGAAGUUCUCCAAUGUCGUGUUUCCAGGCCUUGCUGGGGAAGCCCUGUAUUCAGGAGGCAACCAUUUAAAGUUUUCAGAUGAGCUUAUGGGGGGCAAUCUUAAAAUAUCCACAGCAGAUGCAUCCGGCUCGAGGUGCCAUCAGCUUUGAAUAAAUGCUUGUUCCAGAGCCCAUGAAUGCCAGCAGGCACCCCUCCUUUCCUGGGGUAAAGGUUUUCAGAUGCUGCGUCUUCUAAAUUGAGCCUCCGGUCAUACUAGUUCUGUGCUUGGAACCUUGCUUCAAGAAGAUCCCUAAGCUGUAGAACAUUUUAACGUUGAUGCCACAACGCAGAUUGAUGCCUUAUAGAUGGAGCUUGCAGAUGGAGCCCCGUGACCUCUCACCUACCCCCCCUGUUUGCCUGCCUGCCUAUGCGUUGCUCGGAGAAGUUCUUAGCCUGAUGAAAUAACUUGGGGUGUUGGAAAGCUGUUUAAUUUUAAAUGCCUUAGACGGGGGAUGUAUUAGAGGAAGCAGAUUGUCAAGAGUGUCAUUGUGUUAUGCUAAACUCUGGGAGGGUACAAAUUGGUCAUUCCCAAAUCUGUGUGUGAAAAAUGGCAGGUCUAGUUUGGGCAUUGUGAUUGCAUUGCAGAUUACUAAGAGAAGGUAAUGGUGGGUAUACCGGUAGUGCUCUUUUGUUCUUGCUUCGUUUUUUUGCACCUGAACUUCGUUAGAUUUCAUAAUGCUUUUUUGGCAUUUUAAUAAGAGGACCCUGAGGUGGGAGUUGUGGGAGACCGGGAGAAGGGGACAGCUUGGCACUGGUCACGUGGGAUUUGCAGUGUGGGGGAUGGGGGUGUGCAGCUUGGCACUGGUACUGGGAGGGAUGAAGGUGAGGAAGGGGAGAGGGUUGGUUAGGUAUAUAGUGUGGGUGGUAGGAAAUGCAGGUUGAAGGGAAAUUCUCUGGGGCUUUGGGGAGUUUUGUGCGGUGGGUGAGCCAAGAAAAUACUAAUUAAUAAUAGUAAGUGUUGGUUAAGUUGUUGCUUGGAAGUGAAAAGUUGCUUAGAAAGGUUAGAACUUUAAGUGCAAAGAAAAGAAAAAAACCCAAAACAAUUGUUUUCCUUUGCUGCAAGGUGGGGAAGACUGAAAAAGUGUAACCGAAAACAGAUGACACAGAGUCACCCGUUUUCCUAGAACCCACAGGGAGGGGUGUAUGAUGCCAUCUCACAGGCAGGGCAAGUGUCUUUACCAGCUUCCUCCCGGUGACCAAGGCAGCCUGUUUUAGAGGGUUGUUUUGUUUGGGGUGUGGGUGUUAUCAAGUGAAGAAAGAUGAGUGUCAGACUUGUAGACACAGCAGAUCGGCAUCCUUCGCUGCCCCUUAGCAACUUGGGUGGUCAAUCUGAAGCUGUGAAGGUGUGAUUUUUCAGGAGCUGGAAGUCUUAGAAAAACCUUGUAAAUGCCUACAUUGUGGGCUUUUGACAUAUUUAAGGGACUGCUUAAGACGAGAUUAGAUGGGCUUCUCUGGAUUUGUAACUCAUUUGUCACAGAUACCUUGUGAUUGAAAAUCGUGAGUGAAGUGAAAUUGCAGUGCAUUUCAAGGGAAUUUUGUAUGUAAAUCGUGCCUUAGAAACACUUCUGUUGUCUUUUCUGUGUUUGGUCGAUAUUAAUAAUGGCAAAAUUUUUACCUACCUAGUAUCUUCAAAUCGUAGUCUUUGUAACAAGAACCAAAUAACCUUUUGUGGUCACUGUAAAAUUAAUACUUGGUAGCAGACAGAAUCCAUGUACCUUUGCUAAGGUUAGAAUGAAUAAUUUAUUGUAGUUUUAGUUUGAAUGUUUGUGCUUUAUAAAUGAUCCAAGGCUAGAGGGGAAACUAUCACUUAAAAUCCAUGUGGAAAACAAGAGCUAAAAAGGAAAGGGGAUGGGGAUUGUGGGGAGGGAGUGGGUGAGGUGCCUUUACUACAUGUGUGAUCUGAAAAACCUGCUUGGUAAUAAGCUGCGGUAUUGAAUUGGUAAAGUAAUACCAAUGGCCUUUUAUCAUUUCUUUCUUCCCUUUAAAUUUCACUUAAAAUUUUUAAAAUCAUGGUUAUUUUUAUCCUUGGGAUCUUUCUGUCUUCUGGGUUCCGUUUUUUAAAUGUUUAAAAAUAUGUUGACAUGGUAGUUCAGUUCUUAACCAGUGACUUGGGGAUGAUGCAAACAUCCUGUUGUUGGGAUUUAGAGUGUAUUACUCAUGCAUGUAUGGGAAAUAGUCUCCGGUAUGCUGUUGUGAAAUUGAAACUGUAAAAGUAGAUGGUUAAAAGUACUGGUGUGUUGCUCUGUAUGGUAAGAACUAAUUCUGUUACGUCAUGUACGUAAUUACUAAUCAUUUUUCUUCCACUUUACAGCACAAAUAAAGGUUUGAGUUCUAAACU
ensembl:lncRNA